rnacentral:rRNA from 1 species
GCUUAUCACCAUUCCAAAUUGAAUAUACCCGAUCUCGUCUGAUCUCGGAAGUCAAGCAAUCUCGGGCUUGG